UUUUGGGCUUGGCAACAGAUUUCUCUAAAAUACCUAGAAAACUUCACUUACAUCUUACCUCCACUUACAUUACCGUGAGAAUUACAUGGCAUACCUCACCUUUAUUGCAAGAGAGUUUGGAAUAGCUUAAAGGUGGUCAAAAUGGACUUAAAAAAAGAAAAUCAGAGAAAGAAAUAACUUCCAAUUGCCUGUUUGCAUGUA
rnacentral:lncRNA from 1 species